CUCCCAGAGUGCUAGGAUUACAGGCGUGAGCCACCACGCCAGGCCUUAAGUUCUAUUUCAUGGUUAAUAUCUAUAGCUUUCAUGAGUAUUUGAAAAGUAUAUUGUUUCCAGGGUACUACCGACUUUGGUACUUAUCAAUUAGAUCCAUCUCAUAAAUUAUGCUAUUCAUACCUUUUAUGUUCUUACUUUUUAUCACUUAGCUGACAUGAACCAAGAGAAACAAAUUAAAAUCUUCUAUUAAUUUGUCUGCUUCCUAAUUGUUAUUCAGUGUGUGACCAGUUAUACAAUUAUGAAUUGCUCCCUUUAGCAUUAUAAAGUAUCCUUCUUUGUCUAAUAGGCUUUGUUCUGAUUUCUCUCUUUUUAUAUUAUGCCCUUGCUUUCUUUUUGUUUGCACUUUUCUGGUAUACCUUUGUCUAUCUUUUUUAUUUUCAGCUAACUCACUUUGCUUUAGGUAUAUCUUGUAUACAAGAGUUUGUGAUACCAUUUGAAAGUCUUUUUGUUUCAAUAGGUGAGGUUAGCCAUGUACAUUUAUUUAUUACAUAUAUUAAUAUGACAUAUUUAGGUUUUUCUGUCACAAAUAUACUAGGCUCUUUUUGCAUGUUAAAAAGUCUUCAUGAUGCUGCAUCCAGGUGUGGUGGGCACCUGUAGCUCAGCUACUUGGGAGGCUGAGGUGGGAAGAUUGAGCUCAGGAGUUCGAGUCCAGCCUGGGCAAUAUAGUGUGAUCCCAUGUCUUUUAAAAAAUGGUUUUUGUGGUGAGGGAUGCCACGGAGCCAGGUGGAACUGGCCUGCGGCUCCUGGGGCAGGCCCACCGGCUGGAGACAUGGCCCGGGGGCCCGGCCCGUUAGACCGGCCUCACCCCGGCUCAGUCACCAUGCCCAAGAGAGGAAAGCUAUUCAAAUUCCGGGCCCACGACGCCUGCUCUGGUCCGGUGACUGUGGCAGAUUAUGCCAACUCAGAUCUGGCAGUCAUGAGGUCGGGACGAGUCAAGAAAGCCGUCGCCAAUGCUGUGCAGCAGGAAGUAAAACAUCUUUGUGGCUUAGAAGCUUCCCAGGUUCCUGCAGAGGAAGCUGUCUGGGGCUGGUGAGCCCUGUGACAUCAUCGACAGCAGUGAUGAGAUGGAUGCCCAGGAGGAAAGCAUCCAUGAGAGAACCGUCUCUAGAAAAAAGAAAAGCAAAAGGCACAAAGAAGACCUGGACAGAGCUGAAGGAGAAGAGUAUCCCAUGGAUAUCUGGCUUUUGCUGGCCUUCUACAUCCGUCCUGAGGACAUUGUGAACUUUUCCCUGAUUUGUAAGAAUGCCUGGACUGUCACUUGCACUGCUGCCUUUUGGACCAGGUUGUACUGAAGGCACUGCAUGCUGGAUGCUUCUCUGCCUUUGCGCCUGUGACCAGAAUCAAUGGAGAAGCUGCGCUGUCUCCGGGCAUGUGUGAUCCGAUCCUUGUACCAUAUGUAUGAGCCAUUUGCUGCUCGAAUCUCCAAGAAUCCAGCCAUUCCAGAAAUCACUCCCAGCACAUUAAAGAAUUCCAAAUGCUUACUUUUCUGGUGUAGAAAGAUUGUUGGGAACAGACAAGAACCAAUGUGGGAAUUCAAUUUCAAGUUCAAAAAGCAGUCCCCUAGGUUAAACAGCAAGUGUAUGGGAGGAUUACAGCCUCCCAUUCAGUACGUUCAUACCAACCCAGAUCAGGACUGCUGCCUGCUGCAGGUCACCACCCUCAAUUUCAUAUUUGUUCCAAUUGUCAUGGGAAUGAUAUUUACCCUGUUUACUAUCAAUGUGAGCACGGACAUGCGGCAUCAUCAAGUGAGACUGGUGUUCCAAGAUUCUCCUUUCCAUGGUGGUCGGAAACUGCACAGUGAACAGUGUACAAGUCAUCUUGGACCCAGUGCAGUGUUCUACUAUUCGACUGGUGGCAUCCUCAGUAUCCAUUCUCCCUGAGAGCAUAGUUACUGCUUCCCAUCCCUUGGGGGCAGCCAUGAGUCUAGUCCAUCCAUUAGUAAUCAGAUUCCAGUUUGAAAGGGGCAGCUGGAUUAUAUAUCUGAUUAGUAAUGUACAUGCUCAGAUUGCUGGGGCUCCUGUUAGGAGAGGGAGAAGUGUUGAAUCAAGAAGAAAAACAACUAUGAUCUAUAAACAUAUUUUAAUGUAAAAUUUGCAUUUGAA